AUACAGAGGUGGCAAGCGUUGUUCGGAUUUAUUGGGCGUAAAGGGUCCGUAGGCGGAUUGGAAAGUCGGGUGUGAAAUCUCACAGCUCAACUGUGGAACUGCAUUCGAAACUCCCAAUCUGGAGUGUGAGAGGGGUGAAGGGAAUUCCCGGUGUAAGGGUGAAAUCUGCAGAGAUCGGGAAGAACACCAGUCGCGAAGGCGCUUCACUGGCUCACUACUGACGCUGAGGGACGAAAGCUAGGGUAGCAAACGGGAUUAGAAACCCCAGUAGUCC
rnacentral:rRNA from 1 species